rnacentral:rRNA from 1 species
UACAGAGGUCCCGAGCGUUGUUCGGAUUCACUGGGCGUAAAGGGUGCGUAGGCGGUUUGACAAGUCUGAUGUGAAAUCCCGCAGCUUAACUGCGGAACUGCAUUGGAAACUGUUUGACUAGAGGAAUGGAGGGGAGACUGGAAUACUUGGUGUAGCAGUGAAAUGCGUAGAUAUCAAGUGGAACACCAGUGGCGAAGGCGAGUCUCUGGACAUUUCCUGACGCUGAGGCACGAAAGCCAGGGGAGCAAACGGG